AGUGAACGCUGGCGGUAGGCCUAACACAUGCAAGUCGAACGGCAGCACAGUAAGAGCUUGCUCUUACGGGUGGCGAGUGGCGGACGGGUGAGGAAUACAUCGGAAUCUACUUUUUCGUGGGGGAUAACGUAGGGAAACUUACGCUAAUACCGCAUACGACCUACGGGUGAAAGCAGGGGAUCUUCGGACCUUGCGCGAUUGAAUGAGCCGAUGUCGGAUUAGCUAGUUAGCGAGGUAAAGGCCCACCAAGGCGACGAUCCGUAGCUGGUCUGAGAGGAUGAUCAGCCACACUGGAACUGAGACACGGUCCAGACUCCUACGGGAGGCAGCAGUGGGGAAUAUUGGACAAUGGGCGCAAGCCUGAUCCAGCCAUACCGCGUGGGUGAAGAAGGCCUUCGGGUUGUAAAGCCCUUUUGUUGGGAAAGAAAAGCAGCAGGUUAAUACCCCGCUGUUCUGACGGUACCCAAAGAAUAAGCACCGGCUAACUUCGUG
rnacentral:rRNA from 1 species